CCUGGGGACACAGCAGGCUGAGUCUGGUAGAGGAGGGGCCGCUGCCACCAUCCCCUAAGACCUUCUGAUCUCCAGCAACCCUGGAGCACAAUUCAAUGCGGUCGCGCCUGCCUGUGCCUGGAAUGCCCUUUCUCCGCUCUUCAUCUGGAAAACCCAGCUUUCAAAACCCGGUCGACUCUGCCACUGCCUCUGUGAGUGCCUCUGUUCUGCCCCACAGGUGGCUUCUCAGGUCUGGGCACCCGUGGCCUCUGGCCACACCCCACUGUGGCACCUGUGUCAUCUGCAAAGUUUGAUUUUUGCCUGUCUUUCCCACGGACAGGGGGUUCCUGAGAGGCAGGGAUUGUAUUUCUUUGGCUCUGUCUCUCUAACACCUAGCUAGUGCCUCGCAUAAAACUUAAAAACACCCGAAAUCACACAUAUUUAUGUGUAUGUGUGUAUGUCUACUUGCGUGUGCCUGUUUAGAUGUAUUUUUAAUACGAAAGCUUGAGCAAAUAAAAGGUCGGUGUGAAAGUCAAUUAGGCUCAAGGGCCGGGAGUUUCACAAACAAGGACAGAGAACCUCUGCUUUGCCCUGCAGGCCCCCUACCUGCAAUGCCUUCCAGUCUCCUUCCUCUAUGUGAAUUUAACUGGGCUCAGAACUUGCUUCUUCCAGGGAGCUCUCCCAGCCCCCACCCAGGCAAGGCUGGGGUGGGCCUCCUUUUGUGUUCCCAUAGCACCCUGUGCAUACAUCUAUUGGGGCGCUGAACCCAUGGAAAUUAACUGUUACCCCUUUGCUUUUUGCCAAUCUCUCUAGAACGGAUAGAAGAUGAACAACCAAGGGUAUGCCCCACCAGUCUGACAGCACUGGGGCCCCCCCAGUAGCAUUCCAGCAUUCUCAGGGCGCCUGGGCGGCUCAGUCGGUUGAACAUCCGACUCUUAUUUCAGCUCAGGUCAUGAUCUCACGGUUUGAGGGAUGGAGCCCCAUAUCUGGCUCUGCACUGACAGCAUGGAACCUGCUUGGGAUUCUUUCUCUCUCUCCCUCUCUCUCUGCCCCUCCUCCACACACGUGUGUGCAUGCAUGCACUCUCUCUGUCUCUCUCAAAAUAACUAAAGUGCUUUAAAAAAAAACCAGCAUUCUAGCAUUCUCUAGAAGCAGAGGGGUGGGGGAAUCAUGACACAGAGUAAGAACCCAGCCAGCCCCCUCUCUGCUCUCACCUCGUGUGUCUGUGGAUUCUCUACAAUGCAGCCGUAGUUGAGGGAUUGUGUCCUGUUAGCCUGAAAGACAGACACACCAAAACAAUGACCCGCCUGCUCCAGGGCAGCAAGGUCUGUUUUCUUGCUUUCUUUCUCUCCUCUGCAGCACCUGACACGUAUUUCUGCCACUGACAGGCCUUCAGCAGGGGGAGAACUGACAGCUGCCCUCCCCCUCCCUUCUUUCCAAGCAGCCACAGGGCUCGGGGUCUCCACCGCCACCUCAGCUACUGCUGGGAUUUCUGGCACAUUUCCCUCUUGAUGUCGGUUCCCACUCCAGCUCCCUGGGCUGCCCCUGCCUCCCCGACACGCUGCAUUCCAGGAACUUCUCUGGAUCACCCCCUUUACACCCUCCCGCCUUCCCAGCCCCCUCACCGUGGUGCCAAGGAGCAAGAAAGGGUGAGGCUGGUGUCUGUAGGCAUCCAACAUAGCACUCAAGGGGAAGUCGGAACAGACGUCAGCGUUGAGCACGAAGAAGGCUUCAGGGCCCCCAGCCAGGAUCUGGUCCCGGAAAUGGUAGAGACCACCCCCUGUGCCCAGGGGCGCAAAUUCCUGCAGGUACCUGUCCCCAGGGACCCCAGAGCCAGCUCAGUGAGAUCAAAGGAGGCAGAUAUCCUGAGCCUGGCAUCUGACCCCUCCUGCUCCCAGGAGUACAUUUGCCUAAGGCCAAUAUACUCAGGGAUUCAGAGAGGCCCAAACAAGAAUCCU